UCACACCUUGACCUGUCAACCUU
rnacentral:miRNA from 1 species